AAGGGUGCAACCUACAGCAAGCCUGUCCAUCACAGUACUAGCCAGCUAAAGUUUGUUACAAGCUUUCAGUCUGCUGCGGAGGGACAAGCUGGACAUCAUUUGGGGCUCUGAGAGUCUUGAGUUCUGACCUGGUCGGUGAGCUAGUGUACGAAUAUUCCACAUACAAAUUCUUUGGCCUCAUGGAUACUUUUCAUAAAGCUACCGGAAGAAAUCCUGACACCCAGGCAAUCACCAAGCCAGGCCACAAGUACAGGGACAGAUAUGGGCUGCUAUCUGUAGGCGCAAGAGCCUUGGCCCUGGAAAGGGCCACUCAUCCCAACAUCCUGUGGCGAUCGUCACCAGGCAGGUGGGAAAAGACACAACACUCCCCAGCCCCACCGUUACCAUCG
rnacentral:lncRNA from 1 species